CAAGAGGAGAGGAGAUCUUUCACGAGAUAAUAAAUAAAAGAGGCUCUGGUUGCUUUAGUAUGAAGCAAGACGAGUCCUCCGGAUUAGUUUGGAUUAGUCUGUUGCUAGUGGCACGGAGGUUUGGCGCGCGGCCAUUUAUUCACCUAGAAGACGUCGAGCUAAUUGGAAAAGCACCUGCGAUGAGAUGUAGCUCACCACCUGCACUUUGCUGAAAUAAAAUAAGCCUACAUAAUUGACUACAUUACCUAUUAAUGUUAUGAAAUCACCCCCAAGCAUUUUUAUUAUCAUCCCUUCCCACCCCACUGAUGCUUUUAUGAAUUAAACUUUUGUCUCUAACUUUUUUCCUUUCCUUGGAAGCCCCGAGCCUGGGCCAACGCGUUAGGACCGGGACUGCUGUGACGGGCUCAGACCUUCAUGCAGAAACAACCUGGGAAAUGGGCUCCUUCCUGGUAGAUAAAGGAAAUGGUUGGAUGUUGAUCUGCUUGUUCUUGUGGGAUGGGGUCCUUCUGAUUUCUAGCCUUCCUUCUUUCAUCCAAGGUCAGUGGGAGUCUUGACUGCCCUACGUGGCCUUUGGGGUAAUCCAACUGCAUGGCGGGGCUCUGGCCAGCUUACCUCUAAGCAGGAGCUCCGUACUAGAAGAUGUGGCUCAGUUUGGAGCUAUGGGGAGCUCCUUGCCUCUUGGUGACCACGUAUGGAGAAGCCAGGGUCAUGUCAACCCUUGCCUGAAGACUUGAUCCGAUGGGAUGCAACAGAGGUGGGACGGUGGGUGCUGCGAAGGCGAGGCCUGCCAUGAAUGCUGAACCCAGGUCAGAAGAUCAUCUCGUGUGAGAUGCCAUCGUGCUGAUUUGCUUUUUGGGCCAAAGAGGAAUCAUGAGUGUGGCUCUUGGAGACUGUCUAUGCCAGGCACUAGAGCUCAGCAAACAUUUGAGAUCAGGCUGUGAUCCAAAGAGC